CCCGCUGAACUUAAGCAUAUCAAUAAGCGGAGGAAAAGAAACCAACUGGGAUUGCCUCAGUAACGGCGAGUGAAGCGGCAUCAGCUCAGAUUUGAAAUCUGGUUCUUUCAGAGCCCGAGUUGUAAUCUGUAGAGGAGUCUUCGGGUUUGGAUCUGGCCUAAGUUUCUUGGAACAGAACGUCAUAGAGGGUGAGAGUCCCGUAUGAGGCCAGCUACCUAUUCCCAUGUGAAGCUUCUUCGACGAGUCGAGUUGUUUGGGAAUGCAGCUCAAAAUGGGUGGUAAAUUUCAUCUAAAGCUAAAUAUUGGCGGGAGACCGAUAGCGCACAAGUAGAGUGAUCGAAAGAUGAAAAGCACUUUGAAAAGAGAGUUAAAAAGUACGUGAAAUUGUUGAAAGGGAAACGCUUGCGAUUAGACUUGCGCUCAGGUGAUCAACCGGUGUUCUCACCGGUGCACUCUCCUGCUUGCAGGCCAGCAUCGGUUUGGGCGGUUGGAUAAAGGCCCUAGGAAUGUAGCUGUCCUCGGGCAGUGUUAUAGCCUAGGGUGCAAUGCAGCCAGCCUGGACCGAGGACCGCGCUUCGGCUAGGAUGCUGGCAUAAUGGUCGUAAGCGACCCGUCUUGAAACACGG
rnacentral:rRNA from 1 species